AACAGAUCAUACUCGUAAUGAAGAGCUCACUUACGCUGAUCCAACGUUCUACAAACGAAAAGCACAGAAAUCGGAAGUCAAGCCGGAGGAAGAUGUGGUGUAUGCAGGCGUCGUCAUCAGAAGUUGAUCAAACACUUCAUUUAUGACAUUGCGAUCCCAUUCAGAACUGUUUACUCCAGAAUAUAAAGAAUUAUAAAGCUGUUUUUCUGCCAUUUUUUUUUCAUGUUUUUAUUGUACAGAAAGCAUGCACACACAUAUGAUGUCAUAAAGAUGGAAGUCACUGCAGCAGUGUUACAACAUUAGUGUCCAGCUUGAAACUAAUCAUUAUGUAUGUUAAAUUUUUUAAUAAAAUCAGACCCUGGGUUA